CCCAUUUCGUGAAGGAAGUUCUGAGCGAAAUCAGGUGGCCGCAUAUAUUGCGAGCCAGAUAGGGCAGAACGCGCAGUCCGUGCAGACCACGGCAGAGUCGCAUUUGCGUUGCUCGAGGCGCAACCGAUACCGCCAAAGAGCCCGCCGCCCGAAGGCGCCCGCGUGCGCAUGAAAAAAGGCCUUCAUCUGGCGAUGAAGGCCUUUUACU
rfam:Burkholderia cenocepacia J2315 chromosome 1, complete genome